UUUCCUCUGUUAUUAUUUUCUUUCUGUGAAGUCUUUCGCCUCGUCAUACAUACAUUGUCUUUUCCACGAAAAUUGCCAUCCGUCGUGGCCCUCAUUCUCUUCUUUUCCAGAAGAAGAAGCUUCACAGAAGACUC
ensembl:ncRNA E02A10.7 ncRNA